UAAUACGAAGGGUCCAAGCGUUAUCCGGAUUUAUUGGGUUUAAAGGGUGCGUAGGCGGCUUAUUAAGUCAGUGGUGAAAGACUUCAGCUUAACUGAAGAACUGCCAUUGAUACUGAUGAGCUUGAGUACAGUUGAGGUGGGCGGAAUGUGUCAUGUAGCGGUGAAAUGCUUAGAUAUGACACAGAACACCGAUUGCGAAGGCAGCUCGCUAAACUGUAACUGACGCUGAGGCACGAAAGCGUGGGGAGCGAACAGGAUUAGAUACCCUGGUAGUCCACGCCCUAAACGUUGAUAACUCGAUGUGUGCGAUAUACAGUACGCGUCUAAGCGAAAGCAUUAAGUUAUCCACCUGGGAAGUACGGUCGCAAGAUUG
rnacentral:rRNA from 1 species